GAGGAGGCGGGAGCCGGGAAGGAGGGGAGCCGAGGCCCGGCGUGGGGAGGCCGGCAGGAAGGGCCUCGAGCCAGUGCGGACCUUUCUUCAGCCUCCGUGCGGCCGAGCAGCGCGCCAGGCUGCUGUGGGAGGAGGACGCGCUGACUUCCUCCGACCUGGGCUCCUAUGGAGCAGAACUAGCGGGACCUGGACUUGUGGCGCGCCUGGUGCCUGGUGCCACAUCUCGGGCUCUGCGAGCCUCCUGGCGUGGGAUCCUGCCGUUUGCAUCCAGGAGAGGGGAGGAUAGGGGCAAAAAGGAUGCAGGGAGGCUGAUUUCCACUGGAGAGCUAAUUUCCUGUGAGACAUUAACAGUGAUUUUUUUUUUUUUUAAUUCCUGUAACUGUAAGUUCUGUUACAGUAACAGAAUGUAGGAGAGCACAUAUCAAUGAAGAAAAGACGAAAUAUACUUAUCCAUGAAACUGAGGUUAGGAAACCAGUGUCUUCAAGAGCUGGGGACAGCCCUGCAUAAACCCUGGGUCUAUGCAGACUUGAGAGAUGGUGAUGACAUGUGGUUUUCAGCAUUCCUGGCCCAGUCCGGGGACACUGUGGGUAUAUCAAGCUUAAGUCCAGUAACUGGAAAUACAAGCCCAAGUUCUGGAGAGUUCGAGCUGCAGAGAUAGAUAUGGGGACACUUUCAACCUUGACUCAUUGGCCAUAACCAGCAGAGUGGAAGAUAUAAGAAGAGGAAAGACAUUGAACUGCAAUGUUAUAACAUCCUUUACUGGGCAGAGAAAAGAGGAAA